CAUGCAAGUCGAACGAUGAAGCCCAGCUUGCUGGGUGGAUUAGUGGCGAACGGGUGAGUAACACGUGAGUAACCUGCCCCCGACUCUGGGAUAAGCCCGGGAAACUGGGUCUAAUACCGGAUAUGACCAUGGAACGCAUGUUUUGUGGUGGAAAGAUUUAUCGGUGGGGGAUGGACUCGCGGCCUAUCAGCUUGUUGGUGAGGUAAUGGCUCACCAAGGCGACGACGGGUAGCCGGCCUGAGAGGGUGACCGGCCACACUGGGACUGAGACACGGCCCAGACUCCUACGGGAGGCAGCAGUGGGGAAUAUUGCACAAUGGGCGAAAGCCUGAUGCAGCGACGCCGCGUGAGGGAUGACGGCCUUCGGGUUGUAAACCUCUUUCAGUAGGGAAGAAGCGAAAGUGACGGUACCUGCAGAAGAAGCGCCGGCUAACUACGUGCCAGCAGCCGCGGUAAUACGUAGGGCGCAAGCGUUAUCCGGAUUUAUUGGGCGUAAAGAGCUCGUAGGCGGUUUGUCGCGUCUGCCGUGAAAGUCCGAGGCUCAACCUCGGAUCUGCGGUGGGUACGGGCAGACUAGAGUGAUGUAGGGGAGACUGGAAUUCCUGGUGUAGCGGUGAAAUGCGCAGAUAUCAGGAGGAACACCGAUGGCGAAGGCAGGUCUCUGGGCAUUUACUGACGCUGAGGAGCGAAAGCAUGGGGAGCGAACAGGAUUAGAUACCCUGG
rnacentral:rRNA from 1 species